ensembl:lincRNA
UAUUACCACCCAAAGGGGUGGCUUUACUUAUAGGGCUACCUAGAGGGGAAGAAGAACCAAGUCAGGCUAAAAAUCCAUGACAGAGAGUCAAUGAGUCAAUCAGUCAACACACAUACACACACACACACACACACACACACACACACACACACACACACACAAUAUUUAAUAACUCUAAUAAUUGAUGAUAAUAUGAAAGUCUGGAAGUGUCUAUACAAUAAAUAUGUUAAAUCUGACUAAAAUUAAAUGAGAUAGCAGAAAAUGUAAUAAAAAUAUGAUAUAAAGAAAGAAAAGAACCAAAUACUACUUCUAGAAAAGAAUAGAGAAAAUAAAGACUUUUUUUAAAAGCCUUCAUGAACAAAUUAAACACCAGAACAGACACAGCUGAAGAGAGAACCUAUAAACUGGAAAACAGAUCUGAAUGCAGCACUACAAAAUAUAAAGCCAGCAAGACCUCUUAGGGAGUUCCAGGUGGAUGGGAAAAGGGGACCAAAUGAGUUCAUCACCAGAAGCAGGCCUCAGAAGAGAAGGUUGGCCUGAAAUAUCAGAGAAAAGAAACCUAGCUGGGGACAAACAGGACCAGUGGAAGAAUCCAUCUGAACCCAAACCAAACCAGAAGCUUCCACAUGGCACUUCAAACACAGUAGUUCAGUUUUGCAGAACUCUGUACUAUUCUAGUCCCACCCAUCUUCUGAGGGAACUCUUCCCAGGAGCAACCUCAUUUGCUGGGAGAUGUGGUUUCCAUAAGGAUAUGAAACUAUUUCACUAUCCUGUCCUGCCAUAUGGUCACACUUAUCUGGUGACAUUCUGGACUCAGCACGAUAGAUGUGCCCUCACAUGCAAUGAACAGCAUUCCAGUACUUAAUCCUUACAGACUUUCGGAGGAACUCCCUCACAUCACCCACAGUAGAAGUAACAUGAGAAAGCACACAGUCAUCUCUUGCAUCCAUGUCCUAUCCAUGCUUUUGCAUUGCUGACAAGUGACGGGUGGGCUCUGACAUCAGGAGAUGCAAAUGGCUGAUGAUUCAGACGGUUGUUUGGUAAGUAAACCUGGGUAAACCCUCAAAAUGCAAUGUUUAUUUUUUCUCCUGACCACAAUAAUCUGAAAAUACCCUCAGAUUGUAAGAAUCAUUAUAAAACAGCCUUUUUCUGGCUCACUACCCACAUACCAGAAUUGGGAUAACUCUACUGAAAACUUGCCUACCCUGAUAGGAAUGGAAUAUUUCUGACAAGCUUACACAUGUUCACCUCUUUCUAGCAUCACCUUCAUUGCUAUCAUGUCUACUAUAAUUAUCGUGCAUUGGCAGCCAUGAGGAAUAUUUUGCAUAUAUUAUAUAAAUUAAUCUCCCAAUAACAUUCAAGGCAGAUACUAUGAAAAUUUCCACUUCACUGAUGAAUAAACUGCCCACUGCCACAGAGUAAGUACACAGCAUAGUCCUUAUUUUAAAAACUUUUCAUCACAGAAAACAUCUUUUCCUCCUUUCUCCAGUGACCCUCUGUGUGAUCUCCUACUCAAUUUCUAGCUACGUGGGUUCCCUGGUCAUUUCAGGGAUGUUUCCUUCUGAAAUAGCUUCCGGGUUUAUAGGUUCUCCUUAUCUCUGUUCUUCAGUGUCUUCAAGUGGUUAUAUAACUAAUGAGGGAACUCACCCCAAAUGCCCUUGUCACAUGCUAUUGGGAAACAUACUUAAAGCAGGGAUGUCCAGUGUUGUCCUUGAUUACAGAGAUUGAUGGGAAUUUGUUUCACAAGAAGUUGUUUUCUUACAGUAUAUUGUUAAAAGCUCCCAGGGCCAGGAGUGGCAAAAAUGCCAUUUAAAUGACUCGCCAUGCUUGUUUUAUUCAAAAUGGCUACCCCUUUAUCCAGAAAAUCACUUUUUUUGGAUCAAACAUCAUUCUUCAGCUCCCUUCCAUUCUUUCACUUAUUCAGUCAUUUAUUUCUAACAUACUUAUUGUGUGUCUUCUAUGAGUCAGGACCUCUUCUGGGUGUUGGGUGAACACCACCACAUUAUACUAAUUAGUGUCUACACUAACAAAGUAGACAUCACUGAAGACCUCAGUGAAUUUGGUAUUUAGUAAGGAACCAACAGACAAGUUUAAACCUGAAACAGAAUAAGAUAGUUGCUCUAACAGGGCUAUGGGCCAGAUAGGGGAGAGAAUCAUCAGAUAGGUUGGAAACCCACCCAUGAGGCUCCUUGGCUCACGUCCUGCCUGCCUGGCUGACCCUCCAGGCAUUCCCGGACAUGUCUGAAUAUUCAGGAUGUACACAUUUUGGGCUCCCAUUCUAGGACCCUGUUGGACUUGGAACAUUGCCAGUCUCCUCUUGGUUGGCACUGUGGUCUAAAAGAGGGUAGAAAGAGAGUAAGUUCUACAUGUGGCAGAAUAGAGGUUUCAUCCUCAUCCCCUUUCCCUGCUUCCUGGACACAGUGGUUACUUAUUUACCCCUUAUCUUUUGGAGCUGGGAUCAAUGCUAAGCUAGAAUUAGAGAAGAGUAUCACUGGAAAAAAAAAAAAAAACAGGAAAAAAGAAGGCUGCAACCCUGUUAGAAUAAAAUACAGGGAAAGUAUAGUCUAGGAAGAGGCAAGUGUUAGCUGGUAAACGAUUUUUUAGUCUGUUGAGAUAUGUCAGCGUGAGAUUAGUGAAGAAAGUGCAUUUUCCUUCACCACCUUCUCUUAAAUAUUGGACCAGGGCGACUUAAAUCUUCUAAGUGCCUUACCUGGCCUCUAGUCUUCCUGAUGCAAUAGUCCUUAGAAUGGAAAAUGGUGAUAACAAUAGCUAUUUUUUUUAUUUUAUGCUUUAUUAAGCACUUAUUACGCUCCAGACUGUACUAAGCAUUUUGCCUGUAUUAUUUCAUUAUAGCCUCAAAAUAACACUGUGGAGAAGGUACUAUUAGCAUCCCCAUUUUAUAGGGCAGUGGAGACAUAGAAAAGAAAAGCAACUUGCCCAAGGCCCAAUGUGAGUAAAAGGUGAAAUGAGAAUUUUAUCCCAGGCACUUGGAAUCUAGAGCUCCACACUCCACUGAAUGAAUGUAUUCUGUAUUCUCGAUUAUCUCAUUUUACUUUUAAAUUUCUGGUAAUAAACUAUACUAUAGUUUUAUGCUCCUGUAAGGUAUCAACUAAAGUGUUAAAUAGAAGCAAGGUAUCAAGAUUGAGGCCUUCCAUCAUGAGACAUUAUUGAAGGUGCAUCUUCAAAAGUUUUUGCUUUGGGGAAAACUUUAGUAAUUACAGUACAAGACAAAUAAUUUAAAACCCCAAAAGCUGUGGAUAUGUAAGUGUUGAGCUUUAUUUCUUGUAUUUAGGAUGGAGCUUCAUUCCAGUGUGAGAAUUUAUGCCUUGGUGCGCUGACCGUUCCAUAAAUCUAAAUAAAGCCUCACAAUGUUCCAUGUACUAUGACAGGUGGGGGAUGCAGAGAAUAGUGAGUAGGAGCAUAAAAUCUGGAGCAGAAAUGGCUGCAUCUGAAUCCUGGUACUACUACUGGGUAAGACUGGGAAACACACUUUAAUGUUCCUUGCUGUCAAAUGGAGGUAAGAUGGCACUUGUAGGGUUGUAGUGAAGGAGAAUUAAGAACAAUGUUAUCUUCCACAAUUAUCAGACAUAGUUUAAUUACCAGGACAUAGUGCCUGCUAUUAAACUGGACAUGAAUGUGAACAGGUGGAUACCCAGAUAUAGGUGUGAAAAGAGAACAGGGCUUUGACACAGCCAGUGGCCAGAUUUAAGGAAAGGUGUCAGAGACAGUGGGGUGUAAAGCUGAAUUCUCAAAGAUCCACAGGUGUGUCCCUGAUUAGCAAGGCAAAAGGAGGCAUUGCUGGUGAAGGGAACAGCCAUGAAAAUGGAAAUGGCAAGAGUGAGGCCAAGCAGUCAGUCUUAGGGAACUGCAAAUUAAGAACUAUGCCUGGAUUUAGGAUUCUAAUGGGGGCAUUGUUAGAGUUUGAGUCUAGAGAGAAAGGAAAGCCUUUAGAUCUCAUUAAGGAGUUCAGACUUUAUGCUAUGGGCGAUAGGAAUCCAUGGAAAAUCCUUGUUUCAUUUGUUUCUGUCUUUUGUUCACUUCUUCUUCUUUUUUUUUUUUGACAGAAUCUCGUUCCUUUGCCCAGGCUGGAGUUCAGUGGUGCUAUCUUGGCUCAGUGCAACCUCUGCCUCCCAGGUUCAAGUGAUACUCCUGCCUCAGCCUCUUGAGUAACUAAGACUACAGGUGCACGCUACCACGCCUGGCUAAUUUUUGUAUUUUCAGUAGAGAUGGGGUUUCACCAUGUUGGCCAGGUUGAUCUCGAACUUCUGACCUCAAGCGAUACACCUGCCUCAUCCUCCCAAAGUGCUGGGAUUACAGGUGUCAGUCACCAUGCCAGGCCUCACUUCAUUGUUUUUUAACUUUCAUUUUUUUAAAUCAAAAAGAGCUUUUGAAAAUUUCCUUCCAAGUAGUGAAAUAUUGUGUAAACAUUAACUUAUGGACAAAUUGCAAGUCAUAUUUUAAAAUUACCUAAAAUCCCACAACCCAGAGGAAACACGCACUGACAUUUUGCUGAACAUCUCUCUUAGAACACACAUAUAUGAUUUUAGUGAACUGAUUAAUAAUAUUUUAUAAAAUGCUUAUUAAUAAUAUCCUAUGGAAACCUUUCCAUAUCAAUAAAUAAAGGCCUAUAUUAGCAUUUUAAUGGCUGUAGAGUUCUCUCUUUUAUGGAGGUAAAGCAGUUUAUUUACCCGAUCUUUACUGAUUUGAAAAAAAAAAGUUUAAUUUCUAAGCAGUAAGCAGUGCUUCAAUAAACAACUGAGAACACAAUGCAAUAAAACCAUAAAAUAAUGGAUGGAAUAGAUAAUAUAGCAAAUAGUUUGUUGAAAAUUAAAAAACAAACAAACAAAACUCACUUCUUUAACCUGCUGUUGAAUGAGAAAAGAACAUGGCCAGUACCUUAGUAGAGGUUUAUUUAUUCAAGAAUUCAGUACCUCAUCUCUUAUUUAUUGAGCAUCAAAGAUGUGCCUGACCCUGUUCUGAUAAUGGGGUGCAAUGGUAAACAAGUCAGAGAAGAUACAUUUCUUACAGCUUACAUUUUAGCACAGGGGGCAGAUGAUAAACUAAUAAAGACGCAAGAACAUAUUAGGUAGCCAUGAGCACUGUGGAGAGAAUUAACACAGGGUAGUACAACAGACUAGAGGAUCACAUUUGUUGGGUCACCUGAAAAGACUUCUCUUAGGAACUGCUAUUAAGGCUGAGAAAUGAAUGACAAAAGAAUCCAG